rnacentral:misc_RNA from 1 species
CGUGUAAAGAUAAUCAUUCUUGCUCGAACGAAUGAAGCAUCUUACACAAAGAAAACAAAAUGAUUCUGAGUCUUCUAAUUAGCUUAGCUUUAAUUUCUCUAGGAGCCUAUUGGUACAGCUGGCGAAGGAAGAAGAUGAGAUUUUUCGAAGACUUGGGUAUACCAGGUCCUAAGCCUGAUCUCAUAACUGGUAAUCUCCGGGAAUAUAUCAAUAAGGGGUUUACAAGAUGUCAAGUGGAAUGGACAAACAAAUACGGAAAUUGCGUAGGGUACUUCCUUGGAAUUAAGCCAAUACUAUCGAUCGGCGACCCUGAUAUUUUGAGAGACAUCCAAGUCAAAGAGUUUUUAAGCUUCGCAGAUCGCCCUCCUACAAUUCCUGGAGGACAAACACCAGUAGGACUGGCUAGUGAUGCACUUAUUUCCCUGAAGGGUCAAAGCUGGAAACGUGUUCGAAAUAUUUUGACCCCAACCUUUAGUAGCAGCAAACUUAAACAGUUAACACAACUUAUUAAUGAUGCGGUUGGUAUUCUUUUGAACAAAAUUCGAGAGAAGGCAUCAAAGAGACAAAGAUUUGACAUCUAUCAGUUUUACGAACAGAUUACCUUAGAUAUUAUAGGCAGAGCAGCCUUUGGGAUCAAAACGAAUUCUCAAACAGACACCAAUGACUUCUUUCUCAUAAAUGUCCAACAGAUGUUGAAAAGUAGUAUUUCUAAAACAGCUUUUAUAAUCCAAUUGUGUUUUCCUGAGUUAUUGCCUUUUUUUAUUCCAUUCCGCCGUCUGGUUGAACUCAUCCGAAUGUGGCGAGGGAAUUCUCCCAUUGGUCAACUUCUUGAAGCAUGUGCUAAAGUUGUGAAAUUACGAAAAAAAUCGCCAAAGGAGCAACGAAUUGACUUGCUUCAGCUAAUGCUAGAUGCCCAAAUGUCGGAUGAGUUAGAGACCUUUCCGAAGAGUGAAUUGACUUCUGAUAAUGAUUCUCAGUGUUUUAAAACUAAAUUAUUCAAUGAGAAUUUGUCCGAUAUGGGUCAGCAUUCCAUUUCCAAUUCGGAGAUCCUAGCGAACUGUUUGCUCUUUCUUUUGGCUGGAUAUGAAACAACAUGUACCACGCUAGGAUUUACUACACACUUCUUGGUCAACCACCCACAAGUACAAGAAAAACUUCGAAAGGAAAUAAACAGCGUGUUGGAAAAAGAAAAAGCUCUGGACUACAGCAGCAUAUCGAAACUUCAAUAUUUAGACCAAGUGCUAAGUGAGGUUUUGAGGAUGUAUCCUCCUGUACCAGCGGAACCACUGUACAAGUACCUGUAUGGGCUCUUCAUUAUAACCCUGAUUACUGGACUGAACCUGAAACUUUUGACCCGGAAAGGUUUUCUCCUAACGAAAGCCAACCAACAACGUCUAUGGUCUAUCAACCUUUUGGAGAAGGCCCACGUAACUGUAUAGGAAAACGGUUUGCGUUAUUAGAGAUGAAGAUUAUUGUGGCUCAGAUACUUCGGUAUUUUAUUUUAAAACCGGACGAGAAAACUGAGAACGAAAAGAUAAUGAUGAAAGAAAAACUAUUUCAGAUUGUUCCAAGAUUUGGCGUUAUUGUUUCUGCUGAAAGCGUAUAGUGCUGUUUCGUAUCCCUGAUAAAACCUUAUGAUAAUUACAAAAAUAAAGGUAUUAAAAAAAUA